rnacentral:lncRNA from 13 species
GGGGUUAGAGGUGGCCUUGGUCUGCUAGCUGGACAUCUAGGGUCAGCACUAUGUCUAUAGACACAGAGGUCAGGGGGUUAGAGGUGGCCUUGGUCUGCUAGCUGGACAUCUAGGGUCAGCACUAUGUCUAUAGACACAGAGGUCAGGGGGUUAGAGGUGGUCUUGGUCUGCUAGCUGGACAUCUAGGGUCAGCACUAUGUCUAUCGACACAGGGGUUAGGGGUGGUCUUGGUCUGCUAACUGGACAUCUAGGGUCAGCACUAUGUCUAUAGACACAGAGGUCAGGGGUCACCUCUGUGGAUGAACUCUGCGACCUUCCUGAAGUCGUCUUCAACCAUUCCUCUGGAGGUCAGAGCAGGAGAGCCGAACCUCAGACCGCUGGGACGCAACGCACUCUUAUCACCUACACACACACACACACACACACACACACACACACACACAUUACGUAUAUACACACACACACAUUACGUAUAUACACACAAACACAUUACGUAUAUACACACACACACACACACACAUUACGUAUAUACACACACACACACAUUACGCAUAUACACGCAUAUACAGACAACUGGGACACAGAGCACUCUCACCACCUACAGAGGACUGUGUCUGUUACUUACCAUAUACAGACAACUGGGACACAGAGCACUCUCACCACCUACAGAGGACUGUGUCUGUU